GGCUCCCGCGUACGGCCAAUCCGCGAAGCCGCGCCUGCGCAUCUAAGUACGCGGGAGCGGGAGGGGGCGGGGAUAGCCUGCAGCCUCCGGAGACAGCGCCUUCUGCUGCUGGAACCGAACCGCGCUUUUGCCGACAAGGAACGAACGCCUCUGAUGGUCACACAUGGCCCAGGCUGGCCUCAAACUUGCUAUGUAGCUGCUACUGGCCUUGAACUCCCUGCCUUCAUCUUCCUGUUCUCACCUCCUCCAAGUGCUGAGAUUACAGGUCAAGCAAUCAGAAAAAUGGACACAGAAACCAGGCAGAGUGAGCUAGAAAACCAGUGGACAAUACAGGAGAUAACUUUAUUGAAACGCAAAUGGCAGUGAACAGAUGAAUUCUGCUGGAUGGAGACAUGCCUGACGGACAGAGGACCCAG